rnacentral:rRNA from 1 species
UACGAAGGGGGCUAGCGUUGCUCGGAAUCACUGGGCGUAAAGGGUGCGUAGGCGGGUCUUUUAAGUCAGGGGUGAAAUCCUGGAGCUCAACUCCAGAACUGCCUUUGAUACUGAGGAUCUUGAGUUCGGGAGAGGUGAGUGGAACUGCGAGUGUAGAGGUGAAAUUCGUAGAUAUUCACAAGAACACCAGUGGCGAAGGCGGCUCACUGGCCCGAUACUGACGCUGAGGCACGAAAGCGUGGGGAGCAAACAGG